GACGAACGCUGGCGGCGUGCUUAACACAUGCAAGUCGAACGGAAAGGCCCUGCUUUUGUGGGGUGCUCGAGUGGCGAACGGGUGAGUAACACGUGAGUAACCUGCCCUUGACUUUGGGAUAACUUCAGGAAACUGGGGCUAAUACCGGAUAGGAGCUCCUGCUGCAUGGUGGGGGUUGGAAAGUUUCGGCGGUUGGGGAUGGAUUCGCGGCUUAUCAGCUUGUUGGUGGGGUAGUGGCUUACCAAGGCUUUGACGGGUAGCCGGCCUGGGAGGGUGACCGGGCACAAUGGGCCUGAGAUACGGACCAGAAGCGAACGGGACGCAGCAGGGGAGAGUAUGGCGGAGUGGGCGGGAGUGUGAUGCAGCAGCGCCGGGUGCGGGAAGACGGGUUACGAGGUGUAAACAGCUGUGGCAUGUGACGAGGAGUGCGUGACGGUAAUGGGUAAGGAAGCAACGGCUAACUACGUG
rnacentral:rRNA from 1 species